GAUGAACGCUGGCGGCGUGCCUAAUACAUGCAAGUCGAGCGAACAGACGAGGAGCUUGCUCCUCUGACGUUAGCGGCGGACGGGUGAGUAACACGUGGAUAACCUACCUAUAAGACUGGGAUAACUUCGGGAAACCGGAGCUAAUACCGGAUAAUAUAUUGAACCGCAUGGUUCAAUAGUGAAAGACGGUUUUGCUGUCACUUAUAGAUGGAUCUGCGCCGCAUUAGCUAGUUGGUAAGGUAACGGCUUACCAAGGCAACGAUGCGUAGCCGACCUGAGAGGGUGAUCGGCCACACUGGAACUGAGACACGGUCCAGACUCCUACGGGAGGCAGCAGUAGGGAAUCUUCCGCAAUGGGCGAAAGCUUGACGGAGCAACGCCGCGUGAGUGAUGAAGGUCUUCGGAUCGUAAAGCUCUGUUAUUAGGGAAGAACAAAUGUGUAAGUAACUAUGCACGUCUUGACGGUACCUAAUCAGAAAGCCACGGCUAACUACGUG
rnacentral:rRNA from 1 species